UCAGAAUUGUAAAACCAAGAUAAGGUGGCCUCAAGUAUGGGCCACAUUUUAAAAUUGCAUGUAUGUUAUAUCCACGAGGUCCAGCAGCAUUAUAGGAAGAAGCAAAGGAAUCAAGCUAUUACAUUAUUGAAAGCAAGAGGUAGCAUUUCAUACGCUUAGAGGUUCACCUAAAAACCAAAGCAUCAUACAUAAAGGCGUCUGGUUAUGUGAGGUGAGGCUGAAGUUUGAUUUCACCAUGUCUGCUUCUGGGGCCUUCCAUCCACAUGAACAGGGUGCCAAAAACUCCAAAAGAAGGCAAGUGAAAAACAAUUGGGCAGAGCCUUAUCUCCAAUCAGUUGUGGAGAAGAUGAGACCAAAGAGAUCAUUUUCUCUGGAUGCCUCUCUACACUUCCUUGCAUCUGAUUGAUCCCUGACACAAAGCAAGCCCUAAAAUGUAUAUGCAGGAAUGAGAAGC
rnacentral:lncRNA from 10 species